rnacentral:rRNA from 1 species
CCUACGGGAGGCAGCAGUGGGGAAUAUUGGGCAAUGGGCGCAAGCCUGACCCAGCAACGCCGCGUGAAGGAAGAAGGCUCUCGGGUUUUUAAACUCCUUUCAUAUGGACGUAGAAUGAGAAGGUAGUUCAGGAAUAAGUCACGGCUAACUACGUGCCAGCAGCAGCGGCAAUACGGAGGUGGCAAGAGUUAUUCGGAUUUAUUGGGUGUAAAGGGCGUGUAGGUGGGAGUGUAAGUCAGAUGUGAAAACUCAGGGCGCAACCAUGAGUCUGCAGUUGAAACUGGGUUACUUGAGUACUGGAGAGGGAGUCGGAAUUCGGGGUGUAGCGGUGAAAUGCGUAGAUAUACGGAGGAACACCAGUGGCGAAGGCAGAUUGCUAGACAAUAACUGACGCUGAGGCACGAAAGCGUGGGGAGCAAACAGGAUUAGAUACCCCAGUAGUC